rnacentral:rRNA from 1 species
AGAGUUUGAUCCUGGCUCAGAAUCAACGCUGGCGGCGCGCUUAACACAUGCAAGUCGCACGAGAAAGUGGAGCAAUCCAUGAGUACAGUGGCGUACGGGUGAGUAACACGUGGAUCAUCUACCUUCUAGUGGGGAAUACCCCUGGGAAACUGGGGACAAUACCGCAUAAGCUCGUAAGAGGAAAGCAGCAAUGCGCUGGAAGGGGAGUCCGCGGCUGAUUAGCUAGUUGGCGGGGUAAUGGCCCACCAAGGCGAAGAUCGGUAGCCGGCCUGAGAGGGCACACGGCCACACUGGCACUGAAACACGGGCCAGACUCCUACGGGAGGCAGCAGUGGGGAAUCUUGCACAAUGGAGGAAACUCUGAUGCAGCGACGCCGCGUGAGCGAUGAAGCCCUUCGGGGUGUAAAGCUCUUUCGACGGGAACGAUAAUGACGGUACCCGAAGAAGAAGCUGCGGCUAACUACGUGCCAGCAGCCGCGGUAAUACGUAGGCAGCAAGCGUUGUUCGGAAUUACUGGGCGUAAAGAGUGUGUAGGCGGUGUNCUAAGUUUGUCGUGAAAUCUCCCGGGCUUAACUGGGAGGGUGCGGCGAAAACUGGAAUGCUAGAGGAUGGGAGAGGUAAGCGGAAUUCCUGGUGUAGCGGUGAAAUGCGUAGAUAUCAGGAGGAACACCUGUGGUGUAGACAGCUUA